rnacentral:sRNA from 1 species
AAAAGGAAUUGCUUUCUAAUAUUUCUCUCCCCUGUCUCCUCUAUUUCUGUUUUAGGAGAACUACAAGCAGAUGAAAGCACUAGUAAAUCAGCUCCAUGAACGAGUGGAGCGUAUAAAACUAGGAGGUGGUGAGAAAGCCCGAGCACUUCACAUAUCAAGAGGAAAACUGUUGCCCAGAGAAAGAAUUGACAAUCUCAUAGACCCAGGGUCUCCAUUUCUGGAAUUAUCCCAGUUUGCAGGUUACCAGUUAUAUGACAAUGAGGAGGUGCCAGGAGGUGGCAUUAUUACAGGCAUUGGAAGAGUAUCAGGAGUAGAAUGCAUGAUUAUUGCCAAUGAUGCCACCGUCAAAGGAGGUGCCUACUACCCAGUGACUGUGAAAAAACAAUUACGGGCCCAAGAAAUUGCCAUGCAAAACAGGCUCCCCUGCAUCUACUUGGGCAAGUCACAAGAGUGGUAAAAUAAACUAUUAUUAGCUGGUAAAAUGCAAGAUAGUUUGGAAGGCUGUAUGUAUUACAUUUGGGAUGGGUAUUUUAAAAACCUGUUGAUUUCUCCUGUAAUUAUAAAGGAAACACAGAUUCUUUGCUGAAAACUCUGGGGGAAAGUAAACAAGAACUGUUCAUAGUACUAGUGUAUAAUACUCAUACAUUUUGAUGCAUGCCAGUUUUUUUCUUUACAUGUUGUGUGGUUUUUUUUUUGUUCUCUAGAUCCUGUUUUUCUUUUAACUUUAUGGAUCAUACUAUGAAAAAAAUAGUAGCAAAUAUUUAUAGAUCUCUUGAGUGCCAGGUACUGCGUUAAAUGUGCAAGUAUUAUAUAAUUUGAGCAGAUGUAAUUUAAAGUAAAUUUAAUUUCCAAUGAAAGUAAACUUAU